rnacentral:rRNA from 1 species
UGGGGAAUAUUGCACAAUGGGCGCAAGCCUGAUGCAGCCAUGCCGCGUGUGUGAAGAAGGCCUUCGGGUUGUAAAGCACUUUCAGCGAGGAGGAAGGUGGUGGACUUAAUACGUUCAUCAAUUGACGUUACUCGCAGAAGAAGCACCGGCUAACUCCGUGCCAGCAGCCGCGGUAAUACGGAGGGUGCAAGCGUUAAUCGGAAUUACUGGGCGUAAAGCGCACGCAGGCGGUUUGUUAAGUCAGAUGUGAAAUCCCCGGGCUCAACCUGGGAACUGCAUUUGAAACUGGCAAGCUAGAGUCUCGUAGAGGGGGGUAGAAUUCCAGGUGUAGCGGUGAAAUGCGUAGAGAUCUGGAGGAAUACCGGUGGCGAAGGCGGCCCCCUGGACGAAGACUGACGCUCAGGUGCGAAAGCGUGGGG